AUAGGGGAGCCGUAGGGAAACCGAGUCUUAACCGGGCGUUAAGUUGCAGGGUAUAGACCCGAAACCCGGUGAUCUAGCCAUGGGCAGGUUGAAGGUUGGGUAACACUAACUGGAGGACCGAACCGACUAAUGUUGAAAAAUUAGCGGAUGACCUGUGGCUGGGGGUGAAAGGCCAAUCAAACCGGGAGAUAGCUGGUUCUCCCCGAAAGCUAUUUAGGUAGCGCCUCGUGAAUUCAUCUCCGGGGGUAGAGCACUGUUUCGGCUAGGGGGCCAUCCCGGCUUACCAACCCGAUGCAAACUGCGAAUACCGGAGAAUGUUAUCACGGGAGACACACGGCGGGUGCUAACGUCCGUCGUGAAGAGGGAAACAACCCAGACCGCCAGCUAAGGUCCCAAAGUCAUGGUUAAGUGGGAAACGAUGUGGGAAGGCCCAGACAGCCAGGAUGUUGGCUUAGAAGCAGCCAUCAUUUAAAGAAAGCGUAAUAGCUCACUGGUCGAGUCGGCCUGCGCGGAAGAUGUAACGGGGCUAAACCAUGCACCGAAGCUGCGGCAGCGAACGUAUCACCCAAGACAACUUUACGGAGUUGACGAUUGACGGAGCGAAGCGACGUCAAAGCGUUCAUUAAAGUCGAGUUGGCUUAGGGAUACGUUCGUUGGGUAGGGGAGCGUUCUGUAAGCCUGUGAAGGUGUGUCGUGAGGCAUGCUGGAGGUAUCAGAAGUGCGAAUGCUGACAUAAGUAACGAUAAAGCGGGUGAAAAGCCCGCUCGCCGGAAGACCAAGGGUUCCUGUCCAACGUUAAUCGGGGCAGGGUGAGUCGACCCCUAAGGCGAGGCCGAAAGGCGUAGUCGAUGGGAAACGGGUUAAUAUUCCCGUACUUGGUGUUACUGCGAAGGGGGGACGGAGAAGGCUAUGUUGGCCGGGCGACGGUUGUCCCGGUUUAAGCGUGUAGGUGUGUGUUCCAGGUAAAUCCGGUUCACUUUAACACUGAGGCGUGACGACGAGGCACUACGGUGCUGAAGCAACAAAUGCCCUGCUUCCAGGAAAAGCCUCUAAGCAUCAGGUAACACGAAAUCGUACCCCAAACCGACACAGGUGGUCAGGUAGAGAAUACCAAGGCGCUUGAGAGAACUCGGGUGAAGGAACUAGGCAAAAUGGUGCCGUAACUUCGGGAGAAGGCACGCUGACACGUAGGUGAAGUGAUUUACUCAUGGAGCUGAAGUCAGUCGAAGAUACCAGCUGGCUGCAACUGUUUAUUAAAAACACAGCACUGUGCAAACACGAAAGUGGACGUAUACGGUGUGACGCCUGCCCGGUGCCGGAAGGUUAAUUGAUGGGGUCAGCGUAAGCGAAGCUCCUGAUCGAAGCCCCGGUAAACGGCGGCCGUAACUAUAACGGUCCUAAGGUAGCGAAAUUCCUUGUCGGGUAAGUUCCGACCUGCACGAAUGGCGUAAUGAUGGCCAGGCUGUCUCCACCCGAGACUCAGUGAAAUUGAACUCGCUGUGAAGAUGCAGUGUACCCGCGGCAAGACGGAAAGACCCCGUGAACCUUUACUAUAGCUUGACACUGAACAUUGAGCCUUGAUGUGUAGGAUAGGUGGGAGGCUUUGAAGUGUGGACGCCAGUCUGCAUGGAGCCGACCUUGAAAUACCACCCUUUAAUGUUUGAUGUUCUAACGUGGACCCGUAAUCCGGGUUGCGGACAGUGUCUGGUGGGUAGUUUGACUGGGGCGGUCUCCUCCUAAAGAGUAACGGAGGAGCACGAAGGUUGGCUAAUCCUGGUCGGACAUCAGGAGGUUAGUGCAAUGGCAUAAGCCAGCUUGACUGCGAGCGUGACGGCGCGAGCAGGUGCGAAAGCAGGUCAUAGUGAUCCGGUGGUUCUGAAUGGAAGGGCCAUCGCUCAACGGAUAAAAGGUACUCCGGGGAUAACAGGCUGAUACCGCCCAAGAGUUCAUAUCGACGGCGGUGUUUGGCACCUCGAUGUCGGCUCAUCACAUCCUGGGGCUGAAGUAGGUCCCAAGGGUAUGGCUGUUCGCCAUUUAAAGUGGUACGCGAGCUGGGUUUAGAACGUCGUGAGACAGUUCGGUCCCUAUCUGCCGUGGGCGCUGGAGAACUGAGGGGGGCUGCUCCUAGUACGAGAGGACCGGAGUGGACGCAUCACUGGUGUUCGGGUUGUCAUGCCAAUGGCACUGCCCGGUAGCUAAAUGCGGAAGAGAUAAGUGCUGAAAGCAUCUAAGCACGAAACUUGCCCCGAGAUGAGUUCUCCCUGAGACUUAGAGUCUCCUGAAGGAACGUUGAAGACGACGACGUUGAUAGGCCGGGUGUGUAAGCGCAGCGAUGCGUUGAGCUAACCGGUACUAAUGAACCGUGAGGCUUAACCUUACAACGCCGAAG
rnacentral:rRNA from 1 species